CACAUGCAAGUCGAGGGGUAACAGGUCCUUCGGGAAUGCUGACGACCGGCGCACGGGUGAGUAACGCGUAUGCAACCUUCCUGUAACUGGAGGAUAGCCCCUGGAAACGGGGAUUAAUACUGCGUAACACCGAGAUAUCGCAUGGUAUUUUGGUCAAAUCUACGGAGGUUACAGAUGGGCAUGCGUGCCAUUAGCUAGAUGGUAAGGUAACGGCUUACCAUGGCAAUGAUGGCUAGGGGUUCUGCAAGGAAGGCCCCCCACACUGGUACUGAGACACGGACCAGACUCCUACGGGAGGCAGCAGUGAGGAAUAUUGGUCAAUGGAGGCAACUCUGAACCAGCCAAGCCGCGUGAAGGAAGACUGUCCUAUGGAUUGUAAACUUCUUUUGUGGCAGAAUAAACUACCGUACUAGUACGGUAUUGCAUGUAUGCCAUGAAUAAGCAUCGGCUAACUCCGUGCCAGCAGCCGCGGUAAUACGGAGGAUGCAGGCGUUAUCCGGAUCUAUUAGGUUUAAAGGGUGUUCAGGCUGCCUGGUAAGUCAGGGGUGAAAGUCGGUCGCUCAACGAUCGAAUUGCCUUUGAAACUGUCAGGCUCGAGUAUGGAUGCGGUAGGCGGAAUGUGUAGUGUAGCGGUGAAAUGCAUAGAUAGUACACAGAACACCGAUUGCGAAGGCAGCUUACCAAACCAGCACUGACGCUGAAGCACGAAAGCGUGGGGAGCGAACCGGAUUAGAUACCCGGGUAGUCCACGCAGUAAACGAUGUGAGCUCGGUGUGCGGUGGUCUGACGACUGCUGCGUGCCCAAGUACACACGGUAAGCUCACCGCCUGGGGACUACGAGCGCAAGCUUAAAACUCAAAGGAAUUGACGGGGGCCCGCACAAGCAGCGGAGCGUGUGGUUUAAUUCGACGCAACGCGAAGAACCUUACCUGGGUUUGACAUGCAGCUGCAAGCGCACGGAAACGUGUGACCUUCGAGGGUGCUGCACAGGUGCUGCAUGGUUGUCGUCAGCUCGUGUCGUGAGAUGUUGGGUUAAGUCCCGCAACGAGCGCAACCCUCGCCGUCAGUUACAAGUGUCUGA
rnacentral:rRNA from 1 species